UAAACACCCCUGGAGAAUGAAGCUGAUUAUCCACUGAACAGGUACAUCAUGGACAUAAGCAAUGCAAGUUUCCCCACAUUACCCCACCAAUGUGUUUCAAUCCUGUCCUGGAGGGACUCUUCUGUCUCUACUGCUGGAAGGCAAUUCCAUCUUCAGGACUAUUCAAACUAAAAAUUG
ensembl:misc_RNA